rnacentral:rRNA from 1 species
CAGGUUACCCGCGACAGGACGGAAAGACCCCGUGGCGCUUUACUGUAGCCUGAUAUUGAAAUUCGGCACAGCUUGUACAGGAUAGGUAGGAGCCUUUGAAACGUGAGCGCUAGCUUACGUGGAGGCGCUGGUGGGAUACUACCCUAGCUGUGUUGGCUUUCUAACCCGCACCACUUAUCGUGGUGGGAGACAGUGUCAGGCGGGCAGUUUGACUGGGGCGGUCGCCUCCUAAAAGGUAACGGAGGCGCUCAAAGGUUCCCUCAGAAUGGUUGGAAAUCAUUCAUAGAGUGUAAAGGCAUAAGGGAGCUUGACUGCGAGACCUACAAGUCGAGCAGGGUCGAAAGACGGACUUAGUGAUCCGGUGGUUCCG